GCGCAAUGGGCGAAAGCCUGACGCAGCAACGCCGCGUGAGGGAUGAAGGCCUUCGGGUUGUAAACCUCUUUUCUCAGGGACGAUGAUGACGGUACCUGAGGAAGAAGCCACGGCUAACUACGUGCCAGCAGCCGCGGUAAUACGUAGGUGGCGAGCGUUGUCCGGAUUUACUGGGCGUAAAGAGCGCGCAGGCGGUCGGUCAAGUCGAGUGUGAAAGCCCCCGGCUCAACUGGGGAGGGUCAUUCGAUACUGAUCGACUCGAAGGCAGGAGAGGGAAGUGGAAUUCCCGGUGUAGUGGUGAAAUGCGUAGAUAUCGGGAGGAACACCAGUGGCGAAGGCGACUUCCUGGCCUGUUCUUGACGCUGAGGCGCGAAAGCUAGGGGAGCAAACGGGAUUAGAUACCCCGGUAGUCCUAGCCGUAAACGAUGGACACUAGGUGUUGGUGGUAUCAACCCCGCCAGUGCCGAAGCUAACGCAUUAAGUGUCCCGCCUGGGGAGUACGGCCGCAAGGCUA
rnacentral:rRNA from 1 species